UGACUGCUAUCGGAUUGAUACUAAGCCAUGCGAGUCAUUGUAGCAAUACAAGGCAGACGGCUCAGUAACGCGUAGUCAACCUACCCUAUGGACGGGAAUAACCUCGGGAAACUGAGUAUAAUGCCCGAUAGAACAUUAUGCCUGGAAUGGUUUAUGUUCCAAAUGAUUUAUCGCCGUAGGAUGGGACUGCGGCCUAUCAGUUUGUUGGUGAGGUAAUGGCCCACCAAGACUAUUACAGGUACGGGCUCUGAGAGGAGUAGCCCGGAGAUGGGUACUGAGACACGGACCCAGGCCCUAUGGGGCGCAGCAGGCGAGAAAACUUUGCAAUGUGCGAAAGCACGACAAGGUUAAUCCGAGUGGUUUCUGCUAAAGGAACCUUUUGUUAGUCCUAAAACCACUGGUGAAUAAGGGGUGGGCAAGUUCUGGUGUCAGCCGCCGCGGUAAAACCAGCACCUCAAGUGGUCAGGAUGAUUAUUGGGCCUAAAGCAUCCGUAGCCGGCUUUGUAAGUUUUCGGUUAAAUCCAUGUGCUCAACGCAUGGGCUGCCGAAAAUACUGCAUGGCUAGGGAGUGGGAGAGGUAGACGGUACUCAGUAGGAAGGGGUAAAAUCCUUUGAUCUAUUGAUGACCACCUGUGGCGAAGGCGGUCUACCAGAACACGUUCGACGGUGAGGGAUGAAAGCUGGGGGAGCAAACCGGAUUAGAUACCCGGGUAGUCCCAGCUGUAAACGAUGCAGACUCGAUGAUGCAUUGGCAUAAUAGCCAGUGCAGUGUCGCAGGGAAGCCGUUAAGUCUGCCGCCUGGGAAGUACGUACGCAAGUAUGAAACUUAAGGAAUUGGCGGGGAGCACCACAAGGGUGAAGCCUGCGGUUCA
rnacentral:rRNA from 1 species